rnacentral:rRNA from 1 species
CUCGGAAUGGGCGCAGCCUGACCGAGCGACGCCGCGUGUGCAAUGAAGGCCUUCGGGUUGUAAAGCACUGUCGAGGGGGAGGAAAGCCGGAAGGUCUGACCUAUCCCUGGAGGAAGCACGGGCUAAGUUCGUGCCAGCAGCCGCGGUAAGACGAACCGUGCGAACGUUGUUCGGAUUCACUGGGCUUAAAGGGCGCGUAGGCGGCUUGCCAAGUCAGGGGUGAAAUCUUUCGGCUCAACCGGAAAAUGGCUCCUGAUACUGGCGGGCUGGAGGGAGGUAGGGGCAGAUGGAACUUCCGGUGGAGCGGUGAAAUGCGUAGAUAUCGGAAGGAACGCCGGUGGCGAAAGCGAUCUGCUGGACCUCUUCUGACGCUGAGGCGCGAAAGCCAGGGGAGCAAACGGGAUUAGAUACCCCGGUAGUCCUGGCCCUAAACGAUGGGUACUAGGUUGUGGACUUGACAUGGGUUCACAGCCGAAGCAAAAGUGUUAAGUACCCCGCCUGGGGAGUAUGGUCGCAAGGCUGAAACUCAAAAAAAUUGACGGA